rnacentral:misc_RNA from 1 species
GGAUAGGUACAGCAUCUGUUUGAGCUAUAGUUACUGAGCGCAGGAGUUCCAGCGAGAAGACGAGACCCAGGAAAUGUGAAAGGAUGGUGUUUGCUGAGGCCUGUACCAAAAACACAUCCAAUGCUAGAACUGGACUCUGACCAGGAGAAAUACCCUGGUAAUAUGGAACAGCUGAGGAAGUAAGCGCCUUUGCAACCAGUAGUCCAACAGUGGCUUGCAUCCCAAGAAUGGCAGCACCCAUACCAAGUAGAUUGAUACCA